AGAGCGAACGCUGGCGGCAGGCCUAACACAUGCAAGUCGAGCGCCCAGCAAUGGGAGCGGCAGACGGGAUAGUAACACGUGGGAACGUACCUUUCAGUUCGGAACAACCCAGGGAAACUUGGGCUAAUACCGAAUACGCCCGUAAGGGGAAAGAUUUAUCGCUGAAAGAUCGGCCCGCGUCUGAUUAGCUAGUUGGUGGGGUAAUGGCCCACCAAGGCGACGAUCAGUAGCUGGUCUGAGAGGAUGAUCAGCAUCACUGGGACUGAGACACGGCCCAGACUCCUACGGGAGGCAGCAGUGGGGAAUAUUGGACAAUGGGCGCAAGCCUGAUCCAGCCAUGCCGCGUGGAUGAUGAAGGCCCUAGGGUUGUAAAGUCCUUUCGGCGGGGAAGAGUAAUGACGGUACCCGCGAGAAGAAGCCCGGCUAACUUCGUGUCAGCAGCCGC
rnacentral:rRNA from 1 species